ACACCCGACGACCGCCAUUCCUUCACCGAUAAAGUCCUAAACCAACUCAAAUUCCUUAGUUUUCUCUCUAGACCACAAAUACGAGACUAAGACUCACCAAAUCGACCCCCAACUUCUAAAGCCAAUAAGUUCGACUCCAAACCCCGACAUAUUGUAAGUGUAGACUUGAACGACCAAGAGGUACAACGAGACAACUAAGGGAAACAUCAUGUGGCUUGCUCUACUAGAUCAUUGGAUUGGGCAUCCAGCUGGUUUAGGUUCUUCUUAAAGCCUAGCCCCGGACAAAAUCGAGCAUCUACAGAUUGAUCAAGUUUUUUUUUAAUAAAAUUCAAGUUUCAAGUUGAAUCAAUUUUUUUCUCUU